rnacentral:lncRNA from 1 species
CUCUCCAUCCUCACUUACCUCUCCCUCACAUUCAUCCUCUACCACACAUCAACACCAACAUCAACAUCAACACCAACAUCAGCAUCACUACCAUCAUCACCUCUCAUUGGACCCCACAUCCUCAAGCCCAUCACAGCCGUCCAUAACCUCACCCUCCUCCUCCUCUCCCUCAUCAUGGCCGUUGGUUGCCCUCUCUCCAUCAUCCUCCACUUACCCCACCUCCGUUACACCCUCCGUUUCCUCCUUACCAUUUCUCCGUCUGGCAUGGCCUAAUUCCGACGGAAUCAACGACGGUCGUGAUGGGUUUUGGCUGCGAUUAUUCGCGCUUCAAACGGCGGCGUUUCGAUUGGUUUUUGGCGACAGUGACGGUGGGAAAGUGAUGGCUGGCUCAGGAGCUUUCGUUGCUACCAUCCAUGGACGGUGAGGUGGCGGAAAAUCGGAGAUAUGUCUGGGUCGGGUUUUCCGGGUCAGUUUGACAGCUUCCUCUAUCCCUCUCCCCCAUAAAACAUUACCCAGCUUCCUCUUAUUAUUAUUAUUAUUUUUCACAUACGUUACAGAACAUUAAUGAGAGAUGUUUAGUAAGGACUAUAUUGAUAUUUCGAUGAGUAGUAAAAAUUAAUGUUAAAAUUUUAUAGACGAGUGUAUAGUAAGAUGCUCAAAGUAUUAGAACAUACAUAAAUAAUCCCAGCUCUAAUAAAUUUUAUCCCUUCAGCAAAACAUAUCGAUAAAGUAUACAAAAGCACAAGGCAUGAGUACAUGUCAAUAACAAAUGAAAGUAAUUAAGAUAAAGAAUAUGCUUUAUUUCCUUUUAUUUUCGUUUUUUUUUUUGGUGUCUUUUGAAAGGAGACCAACUAGAUCAUGCAAGAAGUUAAUUUUUUUUUUAAAUAAAAAAGGGAGAAAUGAUGGUCUUACAAAGUUCCAAUAUAAAGUUUAUAAUAUAAAAUUAAUGAUGUGACAAUUAAACUAAUGGAGUAAGAAGUCCCAAAUAGAUUAUAUUUUGCUAAAGAAGUCAAUUCUACCAAGAAUACCUCUUUCUAUUGAAUUUAAAUGAUGAUUAUUUUUUUAUAUCAUAAAAGCUAAAAUAAUUGUGUGAGUAAUUUGAUUCUUUUACACUAUAAAAAUAAAUUCAGAAAAUGUUAGGGCAUGUUCUGUAUUUUAUUUUUAAAUUCAUAUUAUGAGAAUGAAAAUGGUGUUUUCAAGUUUAUAAAAUUUCAAUUGAAAUAUGUGUUUGUUAUUAUUUUAUUUAUCAUAUAUUUUCAAAAUGAUAAAAUAAUGGAUGUAUUAAGCAAUUUUACUACAUGCAAAUUAUUAUCUGUGUUUAAAGUUCAUAUAAAGCUUGUUUAUUUUUCAACAUACCAACUUCCAAUAAUAAUAAUAAAAUUUUUGUGAUAUCCAAUAUUAACUUUUUAAAUUAAUUAUUUUUUGUUAAUGUGUCCGCUGUUCAAUCGAUCUUCCUACUUUCUAUGCUUGAGAUUAGAUCAUUUGCUUCAAAGAUUCGAACUGGACUUAUAGUAGGAAAAAGAAUUUUCUUCAAUAUGAACUCUAAUUCUCUUUUUUUAUAUAUAUAUAUAUAUAAAAUCUAAUUCUCCUUUCAACAUUUUAACAUUUUGAUGAAAUAAAAAAUUAUUGGCGAAAGAUUACAUGCUUCCUUACAUUAGAGAACCAAACACUCAGAUAGGUAGUGUAAAUCUCUACUGAUCGUUGGUGAUUUUAUCAAAAUAAAAUUCAAUAAAAUGUAUAAGCACACUUAAAUCCGUCCAAAAAAACAUAAAUGACCCAGCAAAUAAAGAAAAGUACUGUGAAGUAAAAAUUGAAAAGUACAAUCCGUCGAUCAUUUGAUACGUAUUUUUCUUCACAGAACCUCAAUUCAAUAGACAAAAGCUCCUCUUAAUUUUUCUUUUCUAUUUAAAUAAAAGAACAAACGAAAUUGAUUACGGAGCCAUUAAUUUCCAAGAAUUAAUAAAUGAAAAGGCCCAUAAUUUUUGUUAACCCACCCCACUCUCAAGAAAUAAUUACAAUAAGUUCAAAUUAUUUUUUAAAAAUUGAAAUAAAGAAGAUGUAAUUACAAUAAGUUUGGAGAUUGAAUCAAAUAAAAUAAAAUACCUAAACUAUUAUAAACAAGAACUCUUGAUUCUUGGGGUAUUUUAGUCAUUUUAUAUUAUCAUGGUAAAUUAGUCAAAUAAAACUUAUCUUAAAGCAACCUAAAUGGUCAAAGACACCUAAGUUAAAAAAAAAAUUAUAUGAAUGAUUUAAUUUAUUGAUUGUCUAUACGUUUUAUUGAUAUAUAUAUUUUAAAAAUAGUAUGAACGUAUUACAAUUAUUUUCUGACAGCAAAGUAGAUUUGUAAAAUAAGUGGGUAGAAAAUAUCCCCGUCCUCAAACAAAUAAAUGAAUUAUCGGUGAUGCAUGCUUUUUUCCAACUUUUGUUUUUUUUUUCUUUUGGUUUUUUGUUUUUGUUUUAAAUGGCAUUGGCCCGACCACUACAAAUUAAUUAGAGAAUAUUUACAAUUAUGUAUCACAGCUGUGGAGUAGAAUCAGGGAAAUUAAAAAUGCCAAAAUUAUUGACGCGUGGGUUAGGCGACAAUAACCAUAAACAUUUUUCAUGUAGUGUAAGAAGAAUGCAACAACUCGUUUCUUUCGGUAUUUUUGCAACAAAAGUACGUUGAACAACUUCCCGGAGCAGCUGAACUCCUUUGCUGCUUGUGACUUACCAUAAAUCUUCAAGCCAUUCAAGCUGUGCUUGAAGAUGCAGAGAAGGCAAGUUGAUAUAAGAUGGUUGCAUGGAAUAAGCAGGGUAUCUUCCGAGGCUAGAAAUUGGGCUACGAGUAUUCGUUUUGGACAUAUAAUAUAGUUUCCAAGCUUGCGAUGAGUCGAACCAAAUGCAGAACAACCUAGGCUGUUAUGCCCUGCGAUUGAGCUAAAAAUUUCACUUCUUUUAUAGUCGUUUUUCAGUUUUAAGAUAUUUUUUUAUUUUUCUUGAUUCUUCUAGAAUUUUUAUCAUUUUUUCUAGAUGUUGGAUUUAAGUGCCAUCUAUUUUCUUUCUCUUAUUUAGAUUCGAAGAAUUUUAUUAUCAUAUAAUAUUUUGAAUUUGCUUAGUUUGUUAAAUUUGCUAUAUUUAGGCUCCUAUAAAUGGGAUUCAAAACCCUAAUUUUGUUCAUUCAAAUUAUUCUCAAUAAAACUUAUUAUUCAAAUACUAGUUUAUAUUAUCUAAUAGCUUUUUAGUGUUUCUGCAUCAUCAGCUGGUAUCAGAGCAAGUUCACUUGUCAUCAUGGUGCGACCACACAAUCAAAGGAGCAACCAUCCUGGAGACGAUGUUCAAAUAUUAGGUUAUCUCUUGUAAGCCAUAUUCAUAAAUGUAUUGAGGGAAAGAUACUUUUUUCUUGUCUUAAAUGAUGUGUGGGAUGGACGUUAUAAUUAAUGGGAACCAUUCUUCUGUUGUUUAAAGAAUGGUCUCUACGAUAGUCAAAUUUUGAUUACUGCACGUAAUCAGUUAGUAGCAAGCAUGAUGAGAUCAACAAAUCUUACCUUUCUUAAGGAAUUAAUUGAAGAAGAAUGUUGGUAAUUGUUUAAGCAGGUAGCAUUUUUUGGUCAAUUCUUCAAGGAUCAUGAUCAAUCGAUCAAAAAGUUGCAUGCAAGUGCAAAGGUUUGCCUUUUGUUGCAAAGAUAAUAGGGAAAUUCUUACACUAUAAAUGACCAAUAGAAGAAUAGAAAAGAAUUUUAGAUAGUGGAAUGUGGAAGGUAGAAGAGUUUGGGAAAGGUCUUUUGACUCCUUUGUUGUUAAGUUAUAAUGAUUUAUCGUCCAUAGUAAAACAAUAUUUCUCACAUUGGGCUAUCUUUUCAAAAGGUUACAAUAUGUGUAAAGAGGAACUAAUUACACUAUGGAUGGCUCAAAGUUACUUUAAAUGUAGAAGAAGGCAUUGUCUAAAGCAUGGUCUCCAUGAAAGUAAAAAUUUGGUUUCCACACGUAAUGAGUCAGUUGCAUGUAUGAUGGGAUCAAAAAAUAUUAUCUUCAUUGAGCAAUUGACUGAAGAGGAAUGUUGGUUGUUGUUCAAGCAGUUAGCAUUUUCCGGUCGCUCUUUGGAGGAUGGUGAAAAAUUAGAACCAAUCGGACGAAAAAUUGCACGCAAGUGCAAAGGCCUGCCUCUUGCUGCAAGGUAACAGGGAAUUUAUAGGGGAUGAUAAAUGCAUAUAUAGUGGCCAAGUCGCUCAUUACAUUUCAUCUCUCAUACGAAUAUGAUUUUGAAUUUGAAUUUCCAUGAAUAAUUGUCGGGCUGGUGCAGAUAUUCUUAAAAGGGCAUUAAGCUACCUCAUGAAAUUGGAAAGUUAUCAUUGCUUGAAUGAAAGCACCAUCUUCUGUUGUCAAGGCUUUCCCCACACGAUGAGAUUCUGUGCUUGUUAUCGGCCCCUUAAUUAUUUAUUAAAUCAGGUUUUUAUUAUCAAGUACAUCAUCUUAUUCACCAUUUUGGCUAUAUAUAAAGAUUAAAAUUUCUAACAGUUGUUUUGGAUUCUUGUGUAAUCAGAUAAUUGGGGCAAAUGUCAGAAUGAGGAUUGUUCAGUGCUACUGGUACGGCAAUGAUGGUGAUGGUGAGGAAGAUUGUUCGCAAGCCAAAUUGAGCCCUCCAUUUUGUGAAAUAACAUCCUCAAAUUUGAAUUGUUGAGCACAUGAAGUGAUGCUAAAGCCUUAAUAAUAGGACCUUCCAAUGAAAGUUUCAUUUGAGUGAAUUAUGGGAGAAUGAAACUUCUUGGAGUGAGUGAGAAAUUAAGCAUAUAUCAGCGAUUAGUGAAUGUUUUUCUUUAACAUUAGUACACUCUUAUUUCUUAGUAAAAUUCUCUUCACGUCGUUGACUGUGACGUAGACCAAAAGCUGAACAAUGUAAAAUUAUAUUGUUAUUUCCUUAUGCUUGUUUUGCUAUAUAUCAUUUCUGUGCAAUCAAGAAUGUAAUUUUGUAAUUAUUCAACUCUGCUUCCGCAAACAUGCGGUAUCUUGCAGAUUUUUUUCUCCCUUUUUCUUUCUGCGUUAAAACUGCAACAAAUGGAAGUGACUGGCUUGAUCUUAGCUCCUGUAAAAAAGUGCUUGGGACAAUGUCUUUUGUAUCAGCAAGUUAUCGAACAUCAUAAUUUAAAUAUAGAAUCCUGAGUUGCUAUCGAAAAUUCCAGGUGUUUCACUUCUCAGUUUCUUAAAAGCUACAAAUCUUGAUAUAUAUUGACAAAGCAAACCGUCCGUGGGCUGAAAUGCUUCCACGGAUCAGGAAGGAAUUUGGUGUUGACACUGUAUGUUAUGCGGAUAACUACAGUUGAUGAUUUUUACCCAAAAUUUGUCACAGUUGACAAUUCACUUACAGUGUUUCCUUGUGUUAUCAGGCUCUCAUCUGUGAAUUGAAAGAUUAAGAAAGAUUGAUUCUAACUGACUUAUGCAAUUGAAGAUUAUGAAAAAGCAUUUGCACUAAAGUUCCCAGCUUGUUUAAUUUCUGUGAAGAGGCACAUUCAUUCUGAGUACUUGAGUUUUAGAUUUCCAAGAUGUGUAAUUUUAGUUGCCAUUGAAAUAUUUAGUCGCUCAUUCUUAAAAAUCUGUUCUAAUUUUCCUGUUAUUUUGGGCCAUAAACAGCUUAACAAGUCUGCAUGUGGUUUCUAAAGAUUGAUGGUUAUGAUAAAUUGGAAGAUGCUCUAAAUAUAACAAAAGUAUAUUUCUACUUGUGGUCAAUUUACAUUUGUUUCUUGUGUCAUUAUGCAGAUUAAUUUAUUCGAAUUUAUCCUAUCUCAUUCAUUUAUUUUAGACAAAGUUUGAAAAAAAAAAAUUAUAAGUAUACAAUUUCCAAUGGAUUUGAUAGAGCGGUCAUCAACCAUAUUGAUGUUAUUGGAGUAGCACUGUUCUUAAGCACUGCUUUGAGGUCUCUCCCUCUCUAUAUACAUUGAUAGUCUAUUCUGGUCGUACCAAAUUAUCCUUGUUUUAAUGUUUUGUUUGUUAAACUUUGACUGGGGAAUCUGUUUAUUUGUCUGAUAAGAGGUUAGUGUGGUUUCUAUUGAAGUGUGUAGAUCUAUCACCAAGUAUUAUUUCAAUUUUUCUUUACUUAAUCAACUUGCAUCCUUUCCAAGUCCAGAUCCUUAACAAUAGUGAGACUUCGCUACAGAAGUACAAUUUCUCUAGUUUGACAGUUAAAUACGUAAGAAUGGUUUUAAAUUAACUGAACUCUGAGAUAGUUCUCUAAGGAAAUACAAGUAGUGAAUACCGUUCCAACUUUUAACUGCCUUAAUAUAUCCAUUUGUUCAGCCCUGUGCAUAAAAAAUCAGUAAUUGCCGUCCAAAUUCUUCUUUACUGCCUAUAUGUGUUGGACUUUGUCUAUUCUUCAACUUCUCAAAUGGAUUUUUUGAAUGUCCAAUUAGGAGAAAGAUCAAGGCUUGCUUGGCUACGAGUGGAAGCGGAUCCGCUACUUCAAUCAUAUGACCUUUUGAAGAAGGCUUACAACGGGGCGGCUCAGGAUGUCAAUGGCUCAACUCAAAAGUCCCCAAAGUGGUUGAUAUCAAAGAAUGCCAUUGUCUCUGGGCUUGGGCUCCUUGGCAUCAAACAAGGGAAUGUCGACUCUGUUGAAGGGGAAGCAAGGGCUCCUAAAGUGCGAAGAAAGAGGAUAGUCCGGAAGAAGGUGACCGCAUAAAUUUCUUGGGAGUUAAUCCUAGUCAAUAGCCCAAUUUUGCUGCCUGUCGAAGAGAUACAACACGGAAGUCGUCAUCAAACUCUUUUGAGACAUCUAAGAACUAGUAGGGAGGUGUUUCCAGGCAAGUAUAGUUCACUGAUAGAGGGAUUCUUUUCUUGAUGUCUAAAUACUAUAUGUGAUACAACGUCGUAUAUUCCAAUUUUUCUCCAGUUAAAUUCUAGUAAGUUAGAAAAGUUAAUUUUGUUCUAGCGAUGAAUUGUUUUGUUAGGCAGUGUUUACUUUCUGGAGUGAGAGUGAGGAGUGUGGAUUCCUCCCAUUCCAAUGUUUACUUCAACAAAAUAGGUAGGGAUUGGGAAUCCCACUCCGUGGGCCCCACCCAUUUUUGGAGUGGGGAGUGGGAGUGGGAGUCCACUCCCACCUCUCCCUUUUCUACCCUUUAUUUUUAAUUUAAUUUAAUAAAAUAAAAUAAUUUAUAAUUAUAUUUAUUUAGAUAAUAUUAUUAUAUUUAACUAAAUAAUAAUUUACAUUGAUUAUAAGUUAAAAUUACUUAAAAUAAUAAUAUUAUAUUAAUAGAUAAUUAAUAAAUAUAUGCUAUCUUUAUUUAAUAAUAUAAUAUUAUUAUAUUUAUUUUAAAAAUAAUAUUACUAUAUUUAUUUAAUAUUAAUAAUAAUAAAUAGUUCAUUCUAAGAAAAUAUUAAUUUUUUACUAAAUAAUAUUAUAUUAAUAAAUUUAAUAUAAUUAUAUAAAAUAAAAUAAUGUUUCAUUUUAUAUUUACCCUUCUUUUUAUUAAAUUUACUAUAACUAUAUUUAAUAAAUAUUUAAAUAAUAUUAUUAUAUUUAACUAAAUAAUAAUUGGGUUUGAUUCUAAGUUUAAUUUACUUAAAAUAAUAUUAUUAUAUUAAUAGAGAAUUAAUAAUAUUACUAUAUACAAUCUUUAUUUGAAAAUAUAAUAUUGUUAUAUUUAUUUAAAAUAAUAGUAUUGUAUUUAUUUAAUAUUAAUAAUUAAUACUAAUAAAUAGUUUAUUCUAAGAAAAUAUUAAUUUCAUACUAUGUUAAUAGUAAAAAUAUUUCAUUUAUAUUGCCCUUAUCAACAAUUUUUAAUUUAUAUAAUUAAAAUUAAAAAACUUGUGAUGUUCAUAAUUAAGAAUAUUAAUAAUUAUUAUAAAUUUACAAAUAUAAUAAAAUAAAUGUUUAUUCAUUAAAUAUAUUUUAUAUUAACUUUGUAAUUAAAAACUAUAAUUCUUUACAUAAGGAUAAAAUUGUAAUUUGAGACUAUUUACUCCCAAUCAAAGACAAAGUAAACACAUAAAUUGGAUUAUGAUCUCCAUUCCAGUGCAAGUAAACAACCUACUCCCACUCCCACUCCAUACUCCCAAUCCUAGGAUUCACACUCCUCAGGAUUCCCACUCCAAUCCAAAAAAUAAACGCUACCUUAAUAACAAUAAUUGCAUGUUGCUUUGGAAUCUUAUUCACUCUCUGCAACCCAGUUAAAUUGUGCAAAUUCUACUGUAGAUUUGUCAGAGUGUCUUUGUGAUUUCUUUGAUACAAUUUUGAUCGCAAAUUUCAGUUUGAAGAAUCAUGUAAUACCAAAAAACCAUAACAUGUAAUUACUUGAUCAUACUCGACUUCCUAUUUAGUACUACCGUGUUGUUAGGGAUGGCAAUGGGCACCGCCCGCAGCGGGUUUGCCAUUACCAAACCCAAACCCGCACAAAAUUUAAAUUACCAAACCCACCCGCAACCCGCAGCGGAUUUUAAUUUUUUUACAAAAACCCACCCGCAGCGGGUUUUAACAAUUACCAAACCCGCAAUGGUGUCUGGCGGAUUUUUUGUGGGUUUCCGUAUUUAAAAUCACAAAUGUUUAAUAUAUAAAUUUAUAAUAAUAACCUCAAAUUUCAUAUAACAUACUCAAUUUUAUAUUUAAACAAUGUAAAUGAAAAAUUAAAAUUUCCACAUCAAUUCAACACAAAUUCUCAAAUUUAAGUAUAAAUUACACAAAUCCAUUUUAAAAACUCAAACUAGUAUCUAAAAAUAAUAAUUACAUUUCAUAUUAUCAUUUAAAACAAGCUCCAAGAGAAGAUAUUCAUUUCAUUCACCACCAUAAGCACCCAUCCAACACAAUGCCUAUAAUAAUAAUUAAGAUUAAUAUUUUCAAAUACUAAUUCGAAGGAAAAUGCCUUUAGUUGUUUUUAGAUUAUGACUUUAGAAUAGGAGAUAGGCCACAUAUACACAUACACAACGUUGAGCCUUUGGCUAUUUGGUAAUUUGAUUAAUGACAUUAUUUUCUUUAUACAUUUUUAGAUUAAAAUUAAAUUAAAAAUAUUUGGAAAAAAUAUUGCGGGUUUUGUGGAUAUCCAUGCGGGUAUCCACCAGAUAUAAGGUUAAUACCAAACCCACCUGCAUCCAUGUGUGGGUUUUAAUUUAUAAUACUAAACCCGCCCGCAACGGGUAAAAUUACCCGCAAUGGGCGGGUUUUGGCGGGUGGGUUUGGGCGGGUUUGUGGGUUUGCGGGUACAAUUGCCAUCCCUACGUGUUGUAGUUAUAGUUAUUGUGAAAAAGGAACUGAAACUAUAAUAUAAAUGUUGAUCUUGUUUGUAUAUAUGAUUUUUAAAUAAUAAUUUUGGUAAAAUUAAUAAAUGUAUUAUUGAUUUUUUUAUACUCCCAACUUAAUUUUUAAGUCACAAUAAUAAAUAUUUAUUAAAUACUUUGAUACUAUAACUUUAAAACUAUGCUCCGCGGCACUCUUAUCUAAUUUUAAUUGUACUUUCUAGCUCGAUUAUAGAAAUCCUUACUCGAUGUACUUUACCAUACAAGAUGUUACUUUACUUAAUCUUACUCGACUUUAAUUGCAUAUUUUAUAACGAAUUUUUUUUAAAAAAAUUGGUCCCGAUUCCAGCAAAACAGUAACUUCCAUUCAAAAGGGUUCCACGUUGAGUGCAUGUAAUCUGCACAAGUUUGAGAAGAAAUAACCAAAAAAAAAAGAAACCCACGUCCAAAGAUGCCGUUGAAACAAAGGCCUAGACACUGUAUCCCAUCCCCUUUUACCAUAUUUUAUAAUUAAAGAGGCCGUCAUUGAAUUCAAAAAUUAUGAUCCAAAAUCCAAAAAUAGAAGAAGAAUUGGAAACAUACUCGGAGUUUUAAAUUGAUAUGAGAAAAGAAUUUAUCAUUUUUUUAACAAAAAUUUAAGCUAAGACGAAAAAAUAUGCCUAAAACACCCCUCACAUUAUCCCAAAAUUUCUAAACUCCGCCAUUCCUCUGACCAUCAUCUCUCCCAAAUCAAUCUUCCCCCAAAACCAGCCAUGGCUUCAAAUUCAAUCAGCUUAACACUCCAAUAUUGCUUGUAAGCCACCCACAAGUCCUCAACUUCACAUGGACUCAAGACCAAACCCUAGCUUCCUUCCGACACAUCCUCAUUCACUCCAUCAUUACUUACCUCUCCCUCACAUCCAUCCUCUACCACACAUCAACAUCAACAUCACCAUCAUCAUCACCUCUCAUUGGACCCCACAUCCUCAGACCCAUCACAGCCAUCCAUAACAUUUUUCAUUUUGAUGCUGAAUUAUCAUUUCACGGGAUUUGGUUUCCCUGGGUUUUGGGGUUGGUGCUUCAAUACUGUGUUUAAUGCUUCCCUUUUGGCCCUUUUUGUUAAUUUUCAUUACAAGAGCUUUGCUAAGAAAAGAAGCAGAGAUGAUCAAAACAACUAGUAGUUAUCCUUGUUUUGUGUUUUCUUUUUUAAUUUAUUUGAUUUUGGUUAAUUAUGAAUGGUGGUAAUGGGUUCAUUGCCAUUGACAGAGAUGUUUCCAGUUGCCUAAACUUUGUUUUUUUCAAUUUUGGUAGUACGUGUAAUUUGUCACCACAUUUGUUUAGUCUCUCCCUUUCAAAUUCCCUCUCACACAAAAAAAUUCGGAUUUGUAUUUUGUAAACUAACAUUUUUCAUUUUGUUAAUAAAUUAAUUAUUAUUAUCUACAUUUAUGUGAUAGGACACAUGCCACAUCAAUUAAUAUUAGAUCAUGAAUUUUUGCAACCCCAGCAAAAAAAAUUUAUGAAAGAUGUUUAGGUAAGGAUUAUUUUGGUCUUCUAAAGAGUAGAUUAAAAAUCAAUGUUCAAAGUAUUAGAACAUAAAUAAUCCCAGCUUUAAUAAAAUUUUGCCACAUAAUGAUUCUUAUCUCUCAAGAGAAACAUAUAAAUAAAAUGUACAAAGUUAGAAAUAUAGAAUGCAUUAGUACAUGUCAAUAACAAGACCAAUUAGAUCAUGGCAUUACUUAAUUUUAUUUUUAUUUUUUGCUUCUUUUGAAACAAGAUCAAUUAGUUAGAUCAUUGAAAAAGAAGCAGUCAUACAAAGUUUGAAUAUAAAAUUUAUAAUCUAAAAUUAAUGAUGUGACAAUUAACAUGUUAUUAACCUAGCUAAUAGAGUAGGAAGUCCCAAAUACACCAUCUUCUGCUACAGAAAUCAAUCCUACCUAGAAUACUUCUUUUUAUUGAAAUUUAUGAUGAUUUGUUUGUUUGCAUCAUGAAAGUUAAAAAUAAUUUUGUGAGUAAUUUGAUUCUUUACGGUACAAAAAAUAAAUUCGGAAAGUAUUAAUUUCUCUCAUACUUUUAGGGCUAAAAAAUAAAAGUAAGUCUAAUAUAUUUAUUAGUUAAUGAUUAUAUAUCAAUCAUCUCUCAUACUUUUCGAUCUGAUCCAAUCCAAUCUGAAUAUUCUAGCCUAAUCAACCCGAAACCCAAUCAAGUUGAUCUGAACACAAAUUUACCCACUCCUAGCGGGGAUCAUGACCCUACAAGCUUUGAAAAAUUUUGAGGUUUCGAAGUGAAAUAUUAAAAAUUAGGUAUAAAAAGACUGAUUUGGCCCCUAAGCAAUUAAUUUGAGAAUGUUACAUUUUCCAUUUCUCUUUUUGUCGUGACAUAAUAGACUAAAACGGAAUCACAUACUUCUUCAAAUGCCCAAAUGGCUUUGGCCUAAUAAAGUUAUAUAUUGACUGUGGACUAAAACAGAGCCACAACUUUUUCGAAUGACCAAAUGAAUUAAUGAGACAAUGGCGUUUGCCUACCUUGAUAACAAAAGUCGUCGGCCAUAAUCCAUAUAGACAAAAAAAUGGUCCAUACGUUAAGGUUAAAUUGAAAAAUAUAAUAAAUAAAUUUCAUUUGUGAUGAAAUUCGUAAUGGAUUUAUUACUUAGUUAUCUUUCACAUAUUUUCUCUAUAAUAUCAUAUAAGUUAUAGACCACAGCAUGAUAUUUAUUGCAAUUAAAAUCAUUGUGAAACUGAUUUUAUUCUUUUUUUUCUUCUCAAACAAAGUAUCUAGCUAAUUGCAGAUGUAAUAAAUUACUAAUUAACAUUAUUUUAUCUGAAAAAUAUAAUAAAUAAAUUGUCAGGAGAUGAUUUUAUCUGAAAUUUCACUUGCACGGUCCAGGCCACAUACAAAUUUGUGCUGAAAUUCAUAAUGGAUUAAUAUGAUUGGGCGAAAUUACUCUAUAUAUCAUUUCAUCAAUAUCUAUUAAACGAUAAAAAAUUUAUUGAUAUUUAUAAUAAAAAAAAUCUAUCCACUAAGUCUAUUCUAGAUCAACAAUUAAUAUAUUAUAUAUAACUUCAAAAGGUUCAUCGGUGGAUUGAUCUAAGCCUUUUGUUGUAGUUUAUAAAUAUUUUGUUGCUUAUAAUGUAAGAAAUUUUACAGGAGCUGAUGCUGAGUAGUCUGAAUAAGAAAAUUAAUUAUAUUGUAAGAUACUGGGUAUUCAUGAUAAAAUAAAUAAAUAAAAAAUGAAUAAAAAUUUAAAUCCUUAAUUAAUUUUUAUCAAAUUCUUAUCAAAUAUUUAAAAAAGUAUAUAAAAUCAAUUAAUUGAUGGUAUUAUUAAUUUUCAUGAUUAAUAUUAAAUAUAAAUAAACAAUAAUGACAUAAAUUAAAGUCUCAUAAAUGGAUAACUUUUUUUUCCUUAAUCUUAUCCCAAGUCCCAACUAAAGGAAUGUGUAAAUUAGGAUUAUUAAUCCCAUAAUUUUAAGAUUAAACUUAAAUUUAGUCCCUUAGUCCAAUUCAAUUAAGCUUACCAAAUUUGAUAUAAAUAUAUAAUCACAAAAUUAGUCCAAUUCCAUACUUAAUCCUAGUAUCCGACCAUGGCCUGAUAAAAUAGUUUAGGUAAUAUACUUUUAUGACUAGGGUUGGUAGAAAAGCCCGGGCCGGCCUAGGCCCGCAGGCUUUAAGCCCGACCCGUGGUUUGAAAUUAUGGAUAAAGGCUCGUAAUUAAUGAAGCCCAUAACAUAUGGGCUCAGUUAAGGGUCUAAAUGAAAAGCCUGGGCUUAAGCCCAGGCUUUAUAAUAAAUAAUAUAUAUAUAUAUAUAUUUUAAAAAAAAUUGUAUAAUAUAUUAUGAAAUUGAAAUUAAAAAAAAAAUUUAAACAAAACAAUAAAAAAAAUCGGGCAAAGGGCAAAGGUUUUGUCACAACUCACAAAAUCCCUAAAUCGGUAAAUCAAAAUAUCAAAUUAUUCGUGUUUCGUGAGCACCAUUUCGUGAGCAGUGAGCACCUGACAAAAUCUCACUCACUGUCACGGCGUCACCGUGCCGGCGUCUCACUGUUCUCGCCACCGGCAGCCAACAGUAGAGCAUCUCUAGAUUCCAGCAGCGUCGUCCAGCCAGCAUCAGCCAUCAGCGACCCACCUUCCAGCAGCAGUAGCAGCGAGCAUCUCCCGCGUAAGGCCAAUCCCACCGCCCAGCCACCCACCGUCCAGCCACCCAGCAAGGCAGCAACAGCAUCUCCCGCGUGUCGCAGGCUCGCAGCAGUGCCUCCCAGCAAUUUCCAUCAACAUUGGUAAGCAUUUUUUUGUGUCCUCACUCCUCAGUUUCUUGAUCUUUUCUUUGUCCCUUUCAGUGAUCUGGGUAAUGCUGCAUUUGAUCUUUUCAAAGUGGACUCUUUUUGAUCUGUUUGUUGUUCUAAAUUUUGUAAUUUUUUAUAUGGGUUUCGGCCAGUGGAGGAUUUGAUUUGAUUUUUUAUAUGGGUUUCGGCUCAUUUUCUUUAAAGCUUGUAAGUGUUUGUAGGUUGUUAAGAGGAUUUCAAUAGUUAAAGUAGAAAGAUUUGAUUUGUUAGUGAUUGAGAUGAUACCGGUUUCAAUAGUUAAAGGCUGUUAAGAGGAUUCCAAUGAUAUAGAAUUUAUUUCCUGUCUUCAAUUGCAGAGUGUUUAUAUUUCUCAAUACUGUUUAAUUUCCAUAUUCAUAUUAUUUUUCUCAGCCUGUACUAAGGUGAUGUCUCCAUUGUAUAGAUACUGACAUACUGUAUGGAGUUCUGGACAUUGUAAAUUUGUUGUCCUGUCACUCCUGUGCUUGUAAAUGCAGUAUGCGUUUAGUGCAUUUACACUUAGCUUAAUUAAUUUAUUAAUUUAAUAUUUUAUCUCCUUUAAUUUUGUAUAGGUUUAUAAUGGAAAAUGUCUCUGAACCUUCUAAUUUGCCUUCAAAUCUAUCUGUGGAGUCGGAAAAUGUUCAAGAAGAAAUGCGGAGUGAUAAAAAAAGAAAACAGAGGGUUGUUUCAAAUUGUUGGGACCAUUUUACAAAACUAAAUGUUGGUAGUGUAGCAAAGGCAAAAUGCAAUCAUUGUGGAACGGUUCUUUCUUGUGGAUCGGGAACCAGUCAUUUGAAUAGACAUACUAGACAAAUUCACGGUUUUAAUCAACCGACAAAUAGUUUUAUUAAAAAAAAUUUUGAAAAUUCGUAAAAGCCCAGGCCCAGCCCUAGGCCCGGCUCGCCCAAUUUGAAUGGGCUUUGAGAGGGCCUGGACUUUUUAAACUUUAUAAGGGCCUGGUCCUGGGCUUGGCAAAGCCCGGCCCAGACCCUUAAAUUGCCAACCCUAUCUAUGACUCACAAUUUAAAUAAAUUUGAGAAUUUAUAUAAGGGAUGGAAAAUUCACAAUAAUCAUAACAUGUGCUAUCUUUUCUUCCUUUUCUUAAUUAAAUAAAAGAAAAAAAUUAAUGACAGAACCACUGCUGUGUGAUAUCGAUGAAGUCGCAUUCGCCUACCUAAUAUUGCGCAAUCAGAUAGAAAAAAGGGUCGGCUGCAUGAUUUUUCCAACUUUUGUCUUAUUUUUCUCUUUUCCACUACAAAUUAAUUUGAGAAUGUUAUAUUUUCCAAUUCUCUUUUUGUCGUGACAUAAUAGACUAAAGCGGAAUCACAUACUUUUUCAAAUGACCAAAUGGCUUUGGCCUACCUGAUAAUAAAAGGAAUGGAUCCAUACGUUAAAGCUAAAUUGAAAAAUAUAAUAAAUAAAUUGUCAGGAGAUGAUUUUAUCAAAAGUUUCACUCGCACGGUCCCGACCAAAUACAAAUUUGUGAUGAUAUUCAUAAUGAAUUUAUACAAUUAGGCGAAACUACUCUAUAUAGUUUCAUCGAUAUAUAUUAGACCAUUACAAAUAUACUAAUAUUUAUAAUAAAAAAAAUUUAUGACUAUUUUAAAUCGACUGUAUUAUAUGUGAAUUCACAAGAUUCAUAGAUAGAUUGCACUGAGCUUUUUGUUGCAGUUUACAAAUAUUUUGUUACUAAUUAUCUUAAGAGCAGCAAGUAACUAAGAAAUUUCACAAGUGCUGAUGCUGUGUACUCUGCAGAAUUAACAAUGAAUUAUUAUGAAUCAGAGAAACAGGGCAGACACUGUACAAUUAUUGACGUGGUGGAGCAGAAAGCUAGCCCCAGACAGUGACUCAUGUGGGGACUCCUUCAAUUUGCAGCACAAAAGAACGUUCACAUUGACAUUGACUUGAGGGUAAAAAUUAAAUAACUCCUAUGGUAUAAGAAGAAUGCAAACAUGCUUGAAUGAACAUUCUCACAGAAUACAUAAAACCUACUUUCCUCUGAGCAUUUUAGCAAGAAAAGCAAUUGCAUCAUUUAUCAUUUGAUCUAAUAUCAGAAUGGCUCAUGCAAUCGUUUCCUCUCUCCUGGACCAGCUGAAUUCCAUUGCUCAAGGUCAGGUGAAAGAAAAGUUGAGGCUUGUGACGGGUGUCGAACAAGAAGUGGGUAAGCUUACCACCAAUCUUCAAGCCAUUCAAGCUAUGCUGGAAGAUGCAGAGCAGAGGCAAAUGAAGCAGGACAAAGCUGUUACGUUUUGGCUGGAUCAGCUCAGAGACGCAUCCUACGACAUGGAAGAUGUGUUGGAAGAGUGGAUCACUGAAACACGGAAAUUGCAGCUUGAUGAGGGCGGCGAUGAUGAUGAUGAUGAUAACGACAAUGCUUUUGUUACUCUUUUGACGAAGGUAUGUUCCUUCUUUCCUGCUGCCUCAAACUGCUUUGGUUGUUUCAAACAACUCAGUCUUCGUCAUCAUAUUGCUGUCAAGAUUAGAGAAAUCAGUAAAAGGCUAGAUGAAAUUGCCACUCGAAAAGAUAGGUUUAAUUUUGUUGAGAAUGUGAGUAACAAUGUUAGGAAUCCAGAGCGAGUGCGAACCAUCUCCUUGAUUGAUGAGAGAGAGGUUUACGGUAGAGUUGAGGAGAAAAAUGAGCUCUUAAGCAAGUUGUUGUGUGAAAGUAGUGAACAACAAAAAGGCCUUCAUGUCAUUUCACUAGUUGGGUUGGGGGGUAUAGGUAAAACCACUCUUGCACAAUUGGCGUAUAAUAAUGAUGAGGUGAAAAUAAAUUUUGAAAAAGUUAUAUGGGUGUGUGUAUCGGACACUUUUGAUCAGAUUAGGGUUGCCAAAGCAAUCAUUGAAGAUCUAGGUGAGUCAGCUUCUGGUUUAAACGAAUUCCAAUCUCUUAUGAGCCGUAUCCAGAGUUCAAUUAAAGGAAAAAAAAAUUUUCUUGUCUUAGAUGAUGUAUGGGAUGGGGAUUACAAUGAAUGGGAACCAUUCUUCCUUUGUCUAAAAAAUGGUCUCCACGGAAGUAAAAUUUUGGUUACCACACGUAAUGAGUCAGUUGCACGUAUGAUGGGAUCAACAGAUAUUAUCUCCAUUAAGCAAUUGGCUGAAGAGGAAUGCUGGUCAUUGUUCAAGCAGUUAACAUUUUUCGGUCGUUCUUUUGAGGAUCGUGAAAAAUUAGAACCAAUGGGGCGAAAAAUUGCACACAAGUGCAAAGGCUUGCCUCUUGCUGCAAAGGUAAUAGGGAAUCUCUUGCGCUCUAAAAGUACAGUAAAAGAGUGGCAAAGAAUUUUAGAGAGUGAAAUGUGGAAAGUAGAAGAGAUUGGGCAAGGUCUUUUAGCUCCUUUGUUGUUGAGUUAUAAUGAUUUGCCCUCCAAUUCUAUGGUAAAACGGUGUUUCUCAUAUUGUGCUGUCUUUCCAAAAGACUACAAUAUGGAUAAAGAGGAAUUGAUUAAUCUGUGGAUGGCUCAAGGUUACCUUAAUGCAGAAGAAGACGAAGAGAUGGAGAUGAUUGGGGAAGAGUGUUUCAACAUUUUAGCAACACGCUCUUUCUUUCAAGAAUUUAAGAAAAAUGCUGAUGAUGAUAUUAUGAGUUGUAAGAUGCAUGACAUAGUACAUGAUUUUGCCCAAUUUGUAAGUAGCAAAGAAUGUUUGUGGGUAGAAAUUAAUGGUACCAAAGAAUCAGUCAUAAACUCUUUUGGUGACAAAGUCCGUCACUUAGGGUUAAAUUUUCAAAGAGGCACUUCAUUUCCUAUGUCCAUUCGUGGACUUGAUAGAUUGCGUACCCUCCUAAUUGAUGAUGGAAGUCUGUCUCUUAGUAGUAGCAUCCUUUCGGAGUUAUUUAGUAAAUUGGCGUGUUUAAGGGCAUUAGUUAUAAUGCAAGGUUUUCAUCCUGAGACAAGUAGGAUUAGAGAAAUUCCAAAAAAUGUCGGAAAAUUGAUACAUUUAAAAUAUCUUAAUUUGAAUAGACUAUGUAUAGAGAUACUACCUGAGACUUUGUGUGAAUUAUAUAAUUUACAAAAGCUAGAUAUUAGUUGGUGCCGAAAUCUUAGAGAAUUGCCAGCGGGGAUUGGAAAGUUAAAGAACAUGAGGAGUUUACUGAAUGAUAACACUUAUUCAUUGAAGUACAUGCCGAUAGGGAUUUCCAAAUUAACCAAUCUUCGAACAUUAAAAAAGUUUGUGGUGGGUGGAGGUGUUGAUGGUAGCAAUACGCGUAGGCUUGAAUCUCUGAAAAAUCUUCAACUCCUUCGAGAAUGUGGAAUAGAAGGGCUGGGUAAUGUGUCCCAUUUAGAUGAGGCUGAGAGGUUACAACUUUACAAUAAGAAAAACCUCCUUCGUUUGCGUCUUGUGUUUGGUGGAGUCUUACAUGGGGAAGGCGAGAAAGAUAAACAACUUCUUGAAGCCUUACAACCGCCUUUGAAUGUAGAGGAAUUAUGGAUUAUGUUCUACCGAGGCAACAUUUUUCCCAAAUGGUUGACUUUGCUAACCAAUCUAAGGAAUUUAACACUUUCCUUGUGCAUUAACUGUGAGCAUUUGCCUCCUUUGGGAAAAUUGCCUCUGGAAAAACUCAAACUAUGGAAAUUAAAAAGUGUAAAAAGAGUGGGUAAUGAGUUUUUGGGAAUAGAAGAAAGCAGUGAGGACGACCCAUCUUCAUCUUCAUCGUCAUCAUCAGUUAUUGCCUUCCCCAAAUUGAAAUCACUCGAAAUUGUAGCAUUGGAAGAAUUGGAAGAGUGGAAUUACAGGAUUACGAGGAAGGAAAACAUCUCCAUCAUGCCCCGUCUUUCUUUCUUAAAAGUUGUUUUUUGCAACAAAUUAAAGGCGCUGCCGGAUUACCUUCUUCAAACGACGGCACUGCAGGAACUGCGUAUUUUUUCUUGUGAUCUUCUAGAAGAACUGCCCAUUCUAGAAGAUCGCAGGACAACAGACAUACCACGUCUUUCUUCCUUGCGAAUUUCGGAUUGCCCCAAAUUAAAGGUGCUGCCGGAUUACCUUCUUCGGACGACGACGCUGCAGGAAUUGACAAUUUGGAGAUGUCUCAUUCUGGAAAACCGUUAUAGAGAGGGGGAAGGAGAAGACUGGUAUAAGAUAUCCCACAUUCCCCACAUCAAGUGGUCGCCGUAAGAUAUCACUCGCCGGUAAUUUCUCCUCCUCCUCUGAUUUACUUCGUUGUUGCUUGCAAUGAAAUUAAUAAAAAUAAUUAUAUUUUGAAUUAAAAUUCUAUAUAGAAUCAAUCAUGGUAUAAAUAUGUAAAACUUCCUAGUUAUCAAAUCUGUUAAACUUGUUUUCUAAAGAUUAAAUAAUUAAAAAAAAACCAAGUGUAGUAUGUUGAAAUUUCUAUAUUUUCUUUUAAAAAAUUUGUGCUCUUUUAUAAAAUUUGAUACAACAUCGUAGAAAAUCCCAAUGUAAUUUAUUUUUUAAUGUACGAAAAGUUGUUAUGUGUAACUUCCUGAGAGAAAAAAUCUCUGUGAUACAUUUGCAGUAAUGUUGAAAACUAAAUUAUCAAUUUUAUCUUGUAUAAUGAUAAUCGUAUUUUUUUAUAUAUAAUUUAUGUGACAUUAAUUCUUUAAAGUAAUUGUGUAAUUGUUUUUAGUAGUACAUUAGCCCACUUUGUUUUAUUUCAUACGAGUUUAAUUAUGUUCACCAGGGAUUCGAGGAAAUGUCAGAACCACACUAGCAAUUCACAGGUCCAAUCUAAUUUGGUUUUAAUGAUGCAGGCAGGAGAGUAUUCUAAGAAAAUGAAAAGUUUAGCCAAAGGAUUGCUAAAAUGUUCUGCUGGUAAUUCACUUGCUUUAUUUUAUAGAAUUUCAUUUCCAUCUUCUUCUAUUGAUAUCUUGUUGUGAAUAAACAAGAACAGAGAAGUAAAUGAUUGAACCACAGAGAAGUAAAGAUAUAUCCAAAUUCGAUUAUUAUGAUGAUUAAAGCAAGCUCAAGCUCACGCAUUGCAUUUUUUAUUUUAUUUAGUUUAUAGAAUUUUCAUUUCCACCUGCAUUGCAUUUUUAUUUCAUUUUUAGGUUGACGUUGAAGACUCUAUGGAAAACAUUGGGGUAACCAAGGAUUAUCACUGUGGUUAUUGUGCAACGUUUGGUUGCUGGACUUUGAAGAAGGAAGUGAUGGCCGGGUCUGCUCUGUUUCAAUUGAGGAUGGAUAGCUGCCUGAAAGACAUGAUGAUUAUUAUUGCAUGAUGUUUAGGUGCUAAGAUAAUCAUUUAUAUCUUGCUUCAUUCUUGGAAUCAUUUAUCCUAUAUAAACAUAUUGAAUUGUGCUAAUAUUAUCAAUUUUUUCACCUAAUUUUCACUGUUGUUGUGAAAAGAAUUUCAGGCUCUCAAAAGCUACAAAGCAAAGCAUUUGUGGGCUGAUCAUAUGUUUCAAUUGAGGAAGGAGCUUGGUGUUGGCAAUAUUGUCCAGGUAACCACAGCUGAUAAUUUCCACAAAUUUGCAUUGUCAGAAUACACUUUAAUGUUCAUGGUGUUCCUCUGUGUUAUCAGGUUAUCGUGGUAUGUAAAGUAUCAUCUUUAAGGAUUUGUAAUAGACUUUGCAUUAAACUUAGUUGUCACCAGCUCCUGCAAUUGCUCACUCAUUCAAGAGUACUUCAAAAUUAGAUUUUCAAGGUUUGUAUGUUUAGUUGUGAUCAAAAUGUUUAGUCACUCAUUCUUAAUCUUUUCUGAUUUUCAAGUUCUUUAGGGUCAUAAACAGUUUUCCAACUCAUUCUUAAUUUUUAGGUUGAUUUCGAGUACCAUGUUGAGGACAUUCCUGAGACCAAGGAUUAGGCUGGCGAAGGAACCACUACCUCUGUUGUUAUUGUGCAAGGUUUGAUCAUUGGACCUUGAAUAAGAAUCCCUUACACGCAUUCUGUAAUUGAAGCGUUCUCUAAAGCAACAGAGCAGUUGAAGGAAUAGUGAUGGCCGGAUCUGCUCUAUCUUAAUUGAAGAUCUCUGUGAUGUUGAGGAGCUUAAAGCAGUUGUUGCUUUUUGAUUCCUGAAGACGAGUAUCUAAUGAUUGUUAAGGCGUAUUUCAUGAACUUCCUUUCUUAACGAAUGUUUCAAUGCUGGCUGUAGUAACAAUUUCAUAUCUUGCAUCUCUCGGGUGCAUCAUGUUCACGGGUUUGAAAAAGCAUUUGUGGUAAUGCUUCAAAGCUUGUACAAUGGCUGUGAAAAGGCACAUUCAAUUAGGUACGUUUUGGUGCGGUCUCCCAAUGCUAAUAUUAUAUUUUGUAUAGCAAUUAAAAUUUAGCUAUACAAUCUUAAUAUGCAAUAAAUCAUUGUAUACAAAGUUUUCUAUUAAUUAUAUGGUGACUGAAAUUUUAAUUAUCAUAUAUCAAUUUAAAUUUUUUUGUUACUCUCUUUUACUUUGCUUGUACAGAGUACCUGUUUUGGCUGAUAUGUCUAAUUCGUAGAAAUUCAUUUCCAUCGGUUUCCAUUGGCUUUAGCACAAACCGAAACAGAUCUCUGGGGAAAAGUUUUACUUCUUGUGAUAUUAUGCCUUUGUUUCUUCAUUCAUCAUAUUUUUCGAAUUCAUGCUCUCAUUCAGAGGGUAAAGCCUUUUUGAUGCAGCGGAAGUUUAAUGUUCAAAAUAUUCCGUUGAUUCUAGAGAAUACCGGAAUAAAAGAACAACUAAAUUCACGUUGAUUCAAAAGAAUACCGCGAACUUAGGGGUUAAGACUCGUUGAUUCAGAAUACCGAGAAUUAACUAUUCAAAUACUCACAAAGAGAUUUGAAAAUUGAAAUAUUAUUGAACUCAAAAUUCUCUACUUGUAAAAGUUACAAAAGACACUUAUUUAUACUAAAUAAGACUUAUCCUAAUAUGAUUAGAAAACCUAUUUUAAUAAGACUUAUGCCUAAAUUAGGAAUAUUAUCCAAAUAAGCAAUACCUAAACAAUAAGACUCUAAAUAGGAAACCAAAUUAAACUAGAAUACAAAUUAAUUAAAAUAUUCCUAAAUAUUAUACAUUUAAAUAUAAUUAGGAUUUCUUCAAUUUCUUGCUAUGCAUCAUUCCCGCCAGGUUGGAGAAAAUUCGUCCUCGAAUUUUGUAUAUUGUAAUCUUCAAGAAUAUCUUCAUGUGCAUAAGGAUUAAUUUUUAAAACAGAGCUUUGACAUAGACGACGAACUUUAAAUUUUCCAACUUUUGUAAUAACGUCCAUCCAAUCACUCCAAUGGCGUAAAAUAAAUUCUUCUAUCAACAACUUCUCCAAUAAUGUCUUCUCAUAUUGUUCGUGUCGAACUUCAACAUAGUUAAGGAAAAAUGAUUUUUUCUUAUAAUCCACUAACUGUUGAAAAAUAUCACAACUCUUUUUGUCUUCUUUCGGCAAAUCAAGAGAACAAUAAGAGAUUGUAUCAAUAACUAUCUCUCUCUCCUCCACAAGAUCAAAAGAUGGAUAAACAAUUACCUCUUCUCGUCCCACAAUAUCAAGAUUCUCAUCAAAUUUCGGCGAUUGAUCCAAAUCAAUAUUGUCUUUGUGUUGAGGAUUUGUUGUAGACAUGAAUGGCCAAUUAAUAUUCUCCUCGGAAGGAAUAAUAUUGUCGAAAGGAACAAAGUUACAAUUUUCCUCAUUAUCUUCAUAACAAACAUCACCGUGAACAACUUCAUCAAAUCCAUAUGCAUGCUUUAUGUGUAAAGAUUUUCUAUCUCGAAUUUUCUCUAAAUCUUGAGAAAUUGAACGCAAAAUCCUCAACAUCUUAACUAAAACAUCUCUCAAGAUGAAAUCUUCACGUCGAUAUUGUGAUUUCAUGAUAUAAUUUUUUUCUUUUUUUUUUCCUAUGCUUUUUUUUGGUGUUGUUUGGGUUUUUUUUUUUUAAACUAAACGGAAAAAAACAAAAAAGGAAAAAAGGAAAGGUUUGGUGGUAGAUGGAGUUAGAUUGGUGAGACCAGGUUUUGGCUCUGAUACCAAGCUGAUGCAGCGGAAGUUUAAUGUUCAAAAUAUUCCGUUGAUUCUAGAGAAUACCGGAAUAAAAGAACAACUAAAUUCACGUUGAUUCAAAAGAAUACCGCGAACUUAGGGGUUAAGACUCGUUGAUUCAGAAUACCGAGAAUUAACUAUUCAAAUACUCACAAAGAGAUUUGAAAAUUGAAAUAUUAUUGAACUCAAAAUUCUCUACUUGUAAAAGUUACAAAAUACACUUAUUUAUACUAAAUAAGACUUAUCCUAAUAUGAUUAGAAAACCUAUUUUAAUAAGACUUAUGCCUAAAUUAGGAAUAUUACCCAAAUAAGCAAUACCUAAACAAUAAGACUCUAAAUAGGAAACCAAAUUAAACUAGAAUACAAAUUAAUUAAAAUAUUCCUAAAUAUUAUACAUUUAAAUAUAAUUAGGAUUUCUUCAAUUUCUUGCUCUGCAUCACUUUUCCAGGCUGCUUUGUAGCCAAACUUUGACGCCUUUGAUGCAUGACUGUCAUUUAGAUUUUCCAAAUAACUGUUAGAUUGGAGAAGAAUAAGAAGAUACUGUUAAAAGGGUAUUUAAUUAGCGCCCUCUGAAUUUCUUGGAGUUAAUGUAGUCAAUUGCCCAAUUUUGCUUCAAACUCUGAGACACCUAAUAAAUAGUUGGAGGUGGUGGUAUUCGCCUGGUGUUAAUUUCCUGGCAAGUAUAGUUCACAGAUAGAGGGGUUCUUUUCUUGAUGUCUAAUUACCGUAUGUGAUACAACAUCGUGUAUUCCAAUUUUUCUCCAGUUAAAUUUUAAUACGUUAGAAAAGUUAAUUUUUUUUUAGCAAUGAAUUGUUUUCUUAAUAAUAAUAAUUGCCAUGUUCCUCUGAAGUCUUAUUAAUACCAGACCACCAACUACUAGGUUCAUCUCUCGUUCACUUCCUCAGGGAAUCUCGAGGGCAUUCAUUGGCAGGUAGUCUUUCUUGUUGAGCUCCUGGAAUUACUUUUAAUUUAUCAUUUGUUGGGUUUUGCUUUUUGAUUGCUUUGGGAUUUGUGUUAUUAUCGCUUUGUCGCUCAUUAAUCUUGGCUGUUUUGAAUCUGUGUUGGAUUUAGAAGUUUGGAGUUGAAAACAGUUAAAGCUUAGACUAGUAGAAGAGAUUUAUACAUUCAUUUAUCUUGGACAAAGUUUUUGGGGGAAAAAAAAAUUAUAAGUAUACACUUUCCAAUGGUUCGGUGAUGUUUGAUUGGUUUAAAGAUGUUGGAUCUCUCAUCAGAUUUCUUAUGUAUCGACUGCUGUUGCCACAGGAUGCUUGCAGAUCCUGCUUUUUUGUAUAAACUUCUACUAGAGCAGGCUGCCACAAUUGGUUGCACUGUUUUGUGGGAGUUGGAGAAUCAUAAGGAGAGGUGUGUUUUUUCUCUCAUAACAAAGGAACUCUUCCCUUCCUUUUUAUUUUCAUCUUAUAUAUUAAGCUAAUAAAUGUUUGCUUCUGUCGUGAUGGGAUAAAGCAAGAAUGGGAUCAGCUUAGUUUUGGUGCUUUCCUUGGACUAUAUGCAAACAUGAGAUAUCAGCUAUUGUGUGGAUUUGAUAGAGCGGUCAUCAACCAUUUUGAUGUUACCAGGUUAUCUCUCCCUCUCCCUCUUCUACGCAUUUGUUUAUUGAUCUACAUCUCUAUAUACAUUGAUAGACUAUUCUGGACGUACCAAAUUACCCUUGUUUUAAUGUUUUGCCUGGGGAAUCUGUUUAUUUGUCUGAUAAGAGGUUAGUGUGGUUUCUAUUGAAGUGUGUAGAUCUAUCACCAAGUAUUAUUUCAAUUUUUCUUUACUUAAUCAACUUGCAUCCUUUCCAAGUCCAGAUCCUUAACAAUAGUGCGACAUCGCUACAGAAGUACAAUUUCUCUAGUUUGACAGUUAAAUACGUAAGAAUGGUUUUAAAUUAACUGAACUCUGUGAUAGUUCUCUAAGGAAAUACAAGUGGUGAAUCCGGUUCCAACUUUUAAGUGCCUUAAUUUACCCAUUUGUUCAGCCCUGUGUGUAAACAAUCAGUAAUUGUUGUCCAAAUUAUACUUUACUGCCUAUAUGUGUUGGACUUUGUCUAUUGUUCAACUUCUCAAAUGGAUUCCAUGCAGGGUUCUUAAUGUCCAAUUAGGAGAAAGAUCAAGGCUUGCUUGGCUAGGAGUGGAAGCGGAUCCGCUACUUCAAUCAUAUGACCUUUUGAAGAAGGCUUACAACGGGGCGGCUCAGGAUGUCAAUGGCUCAACUCAAAAGUCCCCAAGGUGGUUGAUAUCAAAGAAUGCCAAUGUCUCUGGGCUUGGGCUCCUUGGCAUCAAACAAGGGAAUGUCGACUCUGUUGAAGGGGAAGCAAGGGCUCCUAAAGUGCGAAGAAAGAGGAUAGUCCGGAAGAAGGUGACCGCAUAAAUUUCUUGGGAGUUAAUCCGAGUCAAUAGCCCAAUUUUGCUGCCUGUCGAAGAGAUACAACUCGGAAGUCGUCAUCAAACUCUUUGAGACAUCUAAGAACUCGGAGGGAGGUGGUGGUAUUCAGUGUGUUUCCUGGCAAGUAUAGUGCAGUGAUAGAGGGAUUCUUUUCUUGAUGUCUAAAUACUAUAUGUGAUACAACGUCGUAUAUUCCAAUUUUUCUCCAGUUAAAUUUUAGUAAGUUAGAAAAGUUAAUUUUGUUAUAGCGAUGAAUUGUUUUCUUAACAAUAAUAAUGGCCUGUUGUUUUGGAAUCUUAUUCACUCUUGUAACCUAGUUAAAUUGUGCAAAGUCUACUGCAGAUUUGUCAAACUGAGUGUCUUUGUGAUUGUUUUGAUACACUUUUGAUCGCAAGUUCAAGUUUGAAUCAUCUUGUAAUGCCAAGAAAACCAUAGCGCUAUUAGUUACUAGAUCGCACUCGAGUUUUUGUUUGACUUUUAACUACGAGAUCAGCUUUUAGUAUUAGCUGUAGUUAUAAUAUAAACGUUAAUUAUGAAACUCUUACCAAAUUUUAGUUGUACUUUCUAGCCCGAUUGUAGAAAUCCAUACAAGAUGCUACUCAAUUUUACUUAAUCUUACUCGUCUUUGAUUUGUAAAUUUUAUGCCUAAAUUUUUGUCAACAAAUUGGUCCCAGUUCCAAGGUUCUUCAGCUUGGGUGAUCCCAGCAAAACCAUUACGUCCAUUCAAAAGGGUUCCACGUUGAGUGCACGAGAUCCACAAGUUUGAUUGGGCAGAAAUACCUGAUGAAAAACCUGAUGAAACCCACGUCCAAAGAUGCCUUUUGUUGCGGAGGCCUAGACGCGACACCCCAUCCCCUUUUACCAUAUUUUAUAAUUGAAGAGGCCAUUAUUGAAUUUAAAAAUUAUGAUUCAAAAUCCAAAAAUAGAAAAAGAAAAACAACCGUUGGAAACCACUCGAAAUUUUAAGUUGAUAUGAGAAAAGAUUUUUUCAUCAUCAUCAUUACUAUUAUUUCUUUUUAACAAAAAUUAAGCUAAGACAACAUUAUAUACCCAAAAUACCCCUCACAUUAUCCCAAACUUUCUAAACUCCCCCACUCCUCUCAACAUCAUCUCUUCCAAAUCUUUCUUCCUCCAAAAAGCAGCCAUGGCUUCAAAUUCAAUCACCUCAACACUCCAAUAUUGGCUUGUAAACCACCCCAAAAUCCUCAACUUCACAUGGACUCAAAACCAAACCCCAGCUUCCUCCCCACACUUCCUCAUUCUCUCCAUCCUCACUUACCUCUCCCUCACAUUCAUCCUCUACCACAAAUUAACGCCAACAUCACCAUCAUCAUCACCUCUCAUUGGACCCCACAUCCUCAAGCCCAUCACAGCCGUCCAUAACCUCACCCUCCUCCUCCUCUCCCUCGUCAUGGCCGUUGGUUGCACUCUCUCCAUCGUCCUCCAUUCACCCAACCUCCGUCACACCCUCUGUUUCCCCCCCACCAUUUCUGCCUCCGGUCCCCUCUUCUUCUACGCUUACAUCUUCUACCUCUCCAAAAUACUCGAAUUCCUAGACACCCUUUUGAUCAUUUUGUCAAACUCCAUCCAACGGCUCACGUUCCUCCACGUCUACCA